AACCCUAAUUCCUCUUUGACCAAACAUUAACUCCAUUCCCUCACAUAUUCACAUCGAUCUGUCUUGUGUUCACUCUCACAACCAUAUCACAAAAUAUCGCCGCCAGUAGGUUUCCAGAAGCCGGCGAACCAACACACGCACCACCGCGUCCACGAGAAUCUCUAUCCCACCAUCUUCGUUGUAGUACACCUCAACACCCCAUCUGCUUCGCUCCAUUUCCGACCUUGCCUAGACGCCAUCAUCAACCACAUCAAUCUAGCUAUCAAUUCGGCUUCUCCUUCUGAUUUCGAUUCAAACAUCCUUCGUCUUACCCAUUUAUUAGUUAGUAAACUCUAUUCCUAGGGUUUCAGUGAUUUUUUCUUUAAUGAAACCAUUCAUUUCUCCUUCUGAUUCCGAUUCAAACAUCCUUCAUCUUACCCAUUUAUCGAUGACCAUCUAUUUUUCCUCCUCUUGUGCCAAGGAGAGAUGAUGAUAGGAAGAUCAUUAUACGACUUUAUAGUAAAGGGCUCAUUCCUCCCAUUGAAGUUGCGAAGGCCAUUAAUUAUGCAAUACGAAAUCAGUGACUAGUUCUUGAAAUUCUUCGAUCAAAAUAAGACCACCGAGCUUCGUCAAGAGGCAGAGCGGUCUACACCUCAGGCCGCAAGGAUCAUAUUGAAGUGGCACUUGAACUUGUAUUCUGGACAUGGGACAAGAUUACAUGACUUGACAUGGUGUGGUGUAAGCAAAUACUCAACAUUACUUGAUUAUAUCAUUCUUUUUGGUGAGAAAAAGAUAGUAUGAAAGAAUCAAGAACAAUCUAAGUGAGGCUAAUGUGCUAUUAGCAUGAUUGGACAUGUGGAAUCAAAGCAAGAUUAAGAGUGUAUUCUAAGUUGUUCAAACUUUGUCAUCCACUUCCAUAUGUGGCAUUAUACACACAAAGCUCAUUGUGGGAGAGUUUUUUGCAUACUCAUUGCUAUAUUUUUCAUGCAGCAAGCUAUCCAAGAAAGUGAUCAAGUAUACAAGGAGCUAGGAUUUGGGAACAGAAUCACACUCAUAUAGUUUAUGUGGUUUUUUCUCUAACUCUUCUCAUGUGUAUUAGUUUCUGGUUUUCUGGUUUUUUAGGUGAAGGCUUAAGGCUUUUUUCCUUUUAAGGGAGGCCUUAGUGUAUCCAUCUGUUUGGUGUUGCUGCUACUGGUGCUAAUUUAAUUUUCGCUUUGACACUUUAUUGGUGUUUGUUGUAGCUAGCCGGGUGUUUUUAAGUUCUUUCUUCUAGUGGUCAAGGCUUGAAGAUCUUGUUCACAAAUGUUUCUUGUUUCUCAAUUAUUUCAUUAUAGUUGCUAUCUUUGAUAUGUCAUGCAUGGGAUGAUAUCCUGUAAUCUUAACAAAUUAUCUAGUUGCAUGAUGGGAAUGCGGUACUGGAUGCAAUUGGGUUAUUAAUGCCAUUUUAUUUUAUAACACAAUAUUAAUUUAUUUUGAAUUAUCUUGUAUUUGUAAUAUAACUUUUUGUGGCAAAUUUGUUGCUUUGUAAUUUUCUUAGUAUCAGGUGCAACACUAUGUAACAAAACAGGUUGGUA